rnacentral:rRNA from 1 species
GCGAAUACCGGAGAAUGUUAUCACGGGAGACACACGGCGGGUGCUAACGUCCGUCGUGAAGAGGGAAACAACCCAGACCGCCAGCUAAGGUCCCAAAGUCAUGGUUAAGUGGGAAACGAUGUGGGAAGGCCCAGACAGCCAGGAUGUUGGCUUAGAAGCAGCCAUCAUUUAAAGAAAGCGUAAUAGCUCACUGGUCGAGUCGGCCUGCGCGGAAGAUGUAACGGGGCUAAACCAUGCACCGAAGCUGCGGCAGCGACGCUUAUGCGUUGUUGGGUAGGGGAGCGUUCUGUAAGCCUGUGAAGGUGGCCUGUGAGGGUUGCUGGAGGUAUCAGAAGUGCGAAUGCUGACAUAAGUAACGAUAAAGCGGGUGAAAAGCCCGCUCGCCGGAAGACCAAGGGUUCCUGUCCAACGUUAAUCGGGGCAGGGUGAGUCGACCCCUAAGGCGAGGCCGAAAGGCGUAGUCGAUGGGAAACGGGUUAAUAUUCCCGUACUUGGUGUUACUGCGAAGGGGGGACGGAGAAGGCUAUGUUGGCCGGGCGACGGUUGUCCCGGUUUAAGCGUGUAGGUGUGUGUUCCAGGUAAAUCCGGUUCACUUUAACACUGAGGCGUGACGACGAGGCACUACGGUGCUGAAGCAACAAAUGCCCUGCUUCCAGGAAAAGCCUCUAAGCAUCAGGUAACAUCAAAUCGUACCCCAAACCGACACAGGUGGUCAGGUAGAGAAUACCAAGGCGCUUGAGAGAACUCGGGUGAAGGAACUAGGCAAAAUGGUGCCGUAACUUCGGGAGAAGGCACGCUGACACGUAGGUGAAGUGAUUUACUCACGGAGCUGAAGUCAGUCGAAGA